UACGAAGGGGACUAGCGUUGUUCGGAAUCACUGGGCGUAAAGCGCACGUAGGCGGAUUUGUAAGUCAGGGGUGAAAUCCCGGGGCUCAACCUCGGAACUGCCUUUGAUACUGCGAAUCUUGAGUCCGAUAGAGGUGGGUGGAAUUCCUAGUGUAGAGGUGAAAUUCGUAGAUAUUAGGAAGAACACCGGUGGCGAAGGCGGCCCACUGGAUCGGUACUGACGCUGAGGAGCGAAAGCCAGGGGAGCAAACGGG
rnacentral:rRNA from 1 species